rnacentral:rRNA from 1 species
CCCCACUCCUACGGGAGGCAGCAGUGGGGAAUAUUGCACAAUGGGCGCAAGCCUGAUGCAGCCAUGCCGCGUGUAUGAAGAAGGCCUUCGGGUUGUAAAGUACUUUCAGCGAGGAGGAAGGGAGUGUAGUUAAUACCCUCACUCAUUGACGUUACUCGCAGAAGAAGCACCGGCUAACUCCGUGCCAGCAGCCGCGGUAAUACGGAGGGUGCAAGCGUUAAUCGGAAUUACUGGGCGUAAAGCGCACGCAGGCGGUUGGUUAAGUCAGAUGUGAAAUCCCCGGGCUCAACUUGGGAACUGCAUUUGAAACUGGUCAGCUUGAGUCUUGUAGAGGGGGGUAGAAUUCCAGGUGUAGCGGUGAAAUGCGUAGAGAUCUGGAGGAAUACCGGUGGCGAAGGCGGCCCCCUGGACAAAGACUGACGCUCAGGUGCGAAAGCGUGGGGAGCAAACAGGAUUAGAAACCCCGGUAGUCCGAA